GGCGAACGCUGGCGGCGUGCUUAACACAUGCAAGUCGAACGAUGAAGCCGGAGCUUGCUCUGGUGAAUUAGUGGCGAACGGGUGAGUAACACGUGAGUAACCUGCCCUUGACUCUGGGAUAACUGCGGGAAACUGUAGCUAAUACCGGAUACGACCCUCGGAGGCAUCUCCUGGGGGUGGAAAGAAUUUCGGUCAAGGAUGGACUCGCGGCCUAUCAGCUAGUUGGGGAGGUAAAGGCUCACCAAGGCGACGACGGGUAGCCGGCCUGAGAGGGUGACCGGCCACACUGGGACUGAGACACGGCCCAGACUCCUACGGGAGGCAGCAGUGGGGAAUAUUGCACAAUGGGCGCAAGCCUGAUGCAGCAACGCCGCAUGAGGGAUGACGGCCUUCGGGUUGUAAACCUCUUUUAGCAGGGAAGAAGCGAAAGUGACGGUACCUGCAGAAAAAGCACCGGCUAACUACGUGCCAGCCGCCGCCGUAA
rnacentral:rRNA from 1 species